rnacentral:lncRNA from 1 species
UUGCCUUUCCCAACUACUCCUCGAGGAUUAGGAGCACAGCUUAUAGCCAAUAGCUCGUCUGUUUCGAGGCGUUUUAUGGUACUUGGAAAAACAAAAACUGGAGAAAUGAGGCCAGUUGCUGAGUCGAUUGGAAACAAGCUUUUAAACCCGUUUGGGCAACAAAAAUAAGCGUUUUUUGCAUCGUUACCUGAAUGAUAACCGAAAAAGAUUUGGACGACGGUUUGAUAAGAGCAAAAAACUUCAACGUAUGUUCAAACCACGUGAUGAUUGAAUGGUUAAAAUAUGGUUCAAUCCACUAUUCUCUUUCGGAAAACAAUAACUGCUGGCAUCCGAUACAGAGUAUUGAAAAAUUAUGUUUUUUAAUAACAAUAAAUUAUUUUAAAAAACUGUUCUUGUAAAAAUGAAAGAAAUACAAAUUUGGCAAUAGUUUAAUCAAAUCUGCCGACCAAGAAGUUCGUCUAGCCGUUGACACCCGGAGCGAGGAUAUAAAUACAUGUUCCACGGUGAGAGAAGAGAAUAGAACAUAUUUUGAUGGCGUUUUAUUGGUAAUUUUUUAUAAUAAUUUAAAAUCAACCCGACUGCGAUUAAAGUUAUUAACAUACUUGUGUCUCAGUCCUCAUGUUUCUUGUGCACUCUGCAUGUCAAGUUUGAAGUGGAAUGUUAAAUAUUAAUAGAUUGUCAAGUUAAUUAAAUAUUUAAAUACAUUCUUGUUCAAAAAGAAGGCUAAAUUAAAAGUUUUAUCGGAGCCAAGGGAAAAGAAAAUGUUCCCAUGUGCGAUCGGAGAUUCUGAGUCAUAAGGCGUUUGAUCUUUGUUAAAUGAAGAGGUGAAGAUCGUCAAGUAGAUUUAGAUAACCAGAUAUAUGUUGAAGAGGCUAACGUUUGAAAAUAAGCACACCUUAAAAAAACAGAUAUUUUUUGAAAUGGAAACACGGUUGGGAUCAAAGGAUUCAAAAGGAAUCAAGAAUCUCACUGACGGUGAAUUCAAGGAUCUAUCCUGGGGCUAAUUUGAUUUUGGCUCAGGUCUUGGCCUAGACACUUCACGGUCAUGACGUAUGGAUUGAAAUGCUUACUUUCAGAAAACCUGUUUUUAGAAACGCCGAGGCAAUUUACAGUAAGCAAAUCUUGGUAAUUCAACAACAUAUCGAAGCAUAAUAACAAAUCCGUGAAAAGUUUAGCCCAUACGCCGCAAUCUUAAUUAAAAAUGAAGUUAUUUUAAUUGAACAUUGUAAUUAGGUUAGUAGUAGGUUGAAAAGUCUCUCAUCGUCCUGGUCGGCAUUGUCUAGCUGGUUUUGCCUGAAAGACGCCUUUCCGUAUUUCGCCAUCUUUGGUUGUUGGUCUUUGCGAUACCUGCUUGAUGUUUCCAACUUUUUUUUUUUUUUAAUAUAUGUCUGUGGGUUGGUUUUUGUUUCGUCGGUUUUGAUAAAUUUUAUAGAGCCAGAGGCCUAACGUGUUGAUCAUGUCCAUUUGCUGGCAUAUUUGUACAUGGAGCAAAUUUUUUUCUGAAUGGAAAGUCCAUGGUAGUUCCGAGUGGGUUGUGUGCGUAUUAUAUUUAAAACCUUAGGCAAAAAUGAACAAUACUGCAUUUUAUUCUGCCAAUAAUACGCAGCGGCAAUGAUCGGAUAUUUUGUUAAUAAGAAAUUGUGCAGUAAUCCUCUGUUAUUCAGAAGCGAUUUGUUCUUGUAUAGGGGAGAACCAUCCCCUGCUUCCAAAAGGGCACGAUUGACCUAAUAACACCACUGAUAACCACUGAUAUCGAAAAAACGAAACGCGUCUCACAUGCAAAACCAGCCAUUACGAUGCUUCUCAACAGACCAAAUUGCCUUACUAUGACAAAAAAACUGCAGUAUUUUGGAGAACAACGACGAUAAAAUAAAAGCCCUCUUUGUAAAGAACGUAAGUAUGUGCGUACAUUUCCAAGUUCAACUGGCACACAAAUGAAACUUACACAGAAGAGAGUUAAUUAUUCGGAAGGACGAUCGAAGCAUGACAUGUCUAUCGGUGUCACAAGGAUACACAAUUAACUAUUAUUUCCGAGUGGAGGUGUUCGUUCGUUUCCAGAAGGACAAAACAACUAAGACAUCUUCAUUUCGUACGGGCCUGAACGCAUUCGAAAAAAAAAAUGAAAAAGCCGAUUAAUUUUGAACAAUCGAAUGACAGUACAGACUGAGACUUAGAAAAUAGGCAAAAGAAAAAAAUCAGUAUAUAAACAUCCAAUAAGAGUACAUCAAUGAAAAAUAAGCCAGGCGAACGUUUACUAGUAGAUUAGAAGAAACUGCGUGUUAAAUUCUAAAAGAAGAUAUUUCUUAUCUUUCUUGGCAAAAUCUCCAAUUAGAUCUCACGAACAGUGGUCAGUUAUUUUGUCUAAUAUUAUUAUUAUUACGCCACUUAACUAAAUAAAACAAUAUUAUUAUUAUAAACGUUUAAUAAAUAAGAACAGAGGCGAUUUUUGAUCCCUUUCGUAAUCGAAUAUGACUCAUACAGUUACGAAAACCAAGUAAGAAGAUAAGGCGUUUUUCAUUGAAGAAGUUAGUGAAAAAUUAUGUGCCUGCGAUGAAUGGAAGUUGCACAAAUUUGCGUUGCAACUGAUUUGACUGACUAAAUUUUAAAAAGUUUCCAAUUGGUAUCGUUUUGAAAGAUUUUUACUUCCAUUCAAACCUUAAAUGUAUUAUUUAUUUUUCUUAGACCAUGAUGGAAAACAGAAAGGUUGGCUUACAAGCCCAGGUAGAGAGAUUCGACAAAUCGCACGACCCCCAUCCCAAUGACACCCAUUGUUGGCGGUUAGCUGAAUAGGCACUGCUGCAGUGCCGUUUACUUCCAGGCACUCGACAAACGCGCACUUCUCCAAACAUUAAUUGAGGAGUGUAUUCAGAACACGGUGGACCAUCUGCCACGUCUCGGGGUGAGCAACCGAGAACUGACAAAUAUCUUGGAAAUAAUCAAUCUGAAUAUGAAAAGAGCUGUGCUAUAUGAGUUAAAAUGGGAUUCAAAUAAAUCCGAAUUUCAAAAAAUGUACUGUUUUAAAAAACUGUGGAAGAACAGUUGGAAAUGUAGAGAAAAGAAUAUAUAAUAAAUUCCGUUUUCGCCCGGAAACCAA